rnacentral:rRNA from 1 species
GUUAUGCGGUCAAGCGACGAAGCGUGUGUGGUGGAUGCCUUGGCAGCCAGAGGCGAUGAAGGACGUUGUAGACUGCGAUAAGCUUCGGGGAGCCGUCAAACAGGCUUUGAUCCGGAGAUUUCCGAAUGGGGAAACCCGGCCC